GGUCUCAUGGUGUAAUGGUGAGCACUCUGGACUUUGAAUCCAGCUAUCCGAGUUCGAGUCUCGGUGAGACCU